AUAAAAACAUUCUAAACACCGCUUCUUCCCCACCACACAAACCCUAAUUUCAUUUUCAAUUAUCUCUGCCGUUCUUCUCUACCUCUCUUUCUGCCUUGAAUCACCCAUUCGUUUCUCUAAUCCAUAUCUCCUACAUCUUCUUAUCGCUUCUACUUCAGCAAUUCUACCUCAUCCAUACCUAAAUCUAUUUUCUUUGGAUCUUCUUCUCUUUGUAAUCAGGUACCCGUCGAACUAUAUUUUGGAUUUUAUACGAGGAUUUGUUUUUCUAUGAUUCAAGCUUCAAGAAUCAGGUCGUCUCCAGAAUUCCAGCCGUCACUAUCAUAUGGAUCGGUUACUGAAAUUGUUUAAUUAGGUUGUUGUUAAAGGAUGGAAUCUAUAUACAGAACAAUGAUUCACGCAUAUGUUCUAUUCGAUUAGCCUUUGUUAUGACAAUUUUGUAUUUUGAUUUGAUUUUGUUUAACUAAUUUUAUUUGAUUUUUUAUCAGAUUUGGAAAUUAUUAGAUAAAGACAUGAUAGAGGUCGUGUUCUUUCCUGUUGUGAAUGGAAUUUCCAUCUUACAGGUUCUUUUUCAUGUUUUGAUCAUUUAUUUUUUAAAUAUUAAUACAAAUUUCAACAUAUGUCUUGUAAAGGGAGGGACUAUGUUGUGGGAGUUCUGGUUGAAUCUAAGGUAGCGUUUGGUAUGAAGGAAUGAAAGGUGGAAUGAAAUGGAUCAUUCUAAUGGAAUGAAAAUAAUCAUGUUUGGUUAUCAUGUGGUAAUUGAAUGGAGCAUUCCAAGGGAAUGUAACUCCUUCCAAAUAUAAUAAUUUCCAUUCCUUGGUAUGUAGGUGUUUUUUUUCCAUUCCCUCAAGGAAUGGAAAGAAAUAUGUUGUUAUUGUUAUUAUUAUUAUUAUUAUUAUUAUUAUUAUUAUUAUUAUUAUUAUUAUUAUUAUUAUACUUAUACUUUUAUUUGUAUUUAUAUUUAUAUUUAUUAAUACUCAUACUAAUAUUAAUAUAUAUGAAAAUCUAUUACUAAUUUUUUAUCAUUAAUAUAUUAUUAUUAUUAUUAUCAUUAUUAUUAUUGAGUCAAUUAUAUUUUUGUCGUUUUUAAUACAAUUGUGUUUCUUUACUUCAUCUUUUUUUGUUUAUCAAAUUGUACAAAGUAAUAAUUCAUUCUAUUCACAUAUGAGUAACCAAACAUCACAAUGGAAUGGAAUGAUCCAUUUCAUUCCGUUGUCCAUUCCAUUACCUCGUCCAUUCCAUUCUCUCAUCUAUUCCAUUACCCCAUACCAAACAGACCCUAAGUAUAUGUGUAUGGGAGGUUGAAUGAAUGGUCAAAGAUGUAUGGGAGUUCUUCAAGCCUUGUGACUAUUUGGCUAUGAGCACUUCACUUGGGUCUCCUUCGGUUACAAUUUCUUUAAUCAUUUUCUUUUCACAUUGUGUAGUUAUUGAGUUUUGAUCACUUAUUUCUGCAUAGUUAGGGUUUAGAGUUCCUGUAAAUUAUUGAUUAUGGAGAGAUGUGUAGUUAUUGAGUUUUGAUCACUUAUUUCUGCAUAGUUAUGGUUUAGAGUUCCUGAAUAUUAUUGGUUAUGGAGAGAAUGUGUAGCUGUGCUUCAUGAAUCUUUGUUAUUAAUAUAACACAAUGGACAGAGAAACAAAGAGAAUGAAACAAGCUUCUUCAAUUCUUUAUUAGAAAACAAAAGAGCGGUACGGUGUGUGAGAAUUGAAUUCAGUUGAAGAAUAAUUGAAAUAUUAUAAUAAAUCUCUUUUGUUUUUUCUUUCUACAUAUAUGUAGACACAUAUAGGCGUAAAUGUAUGUACUCUUAUUUUGAAUUUGAGACUUGCUAUAUGAAGAUUAAUGAUAUAGAGUUGGUGAUUGUGUGUGCUUUAUAAAUCGUAGUUGUUUGUUAAUCCAAUAUGAGAUUAUCUUACAAUUAUCUCGCUUCGUUUUAACUUUGUUUCAAUGAUUUGAUGUUAAGAUUAGGGCUACAUCAAUGUAAUCAGUUUAGCGUUUAUUUUUGUUCAUAUUACAUUUUUUUACAUAUCAAUACAUAUUAGGGUUUUUUUGUUCAAAUUUGUUACAUCAAUUUGUUCAUAUUAGGGUUUUUUUUUGUUCAAAUUUGUUACAUCAUAUAUAGUGCUGGAAGGAGAUCCUAUCUUAGUUUAAAGUGGGCUGAACGGGCUUGAAUUGUUGUUAACAAGAUUCCAGGUAUAUAUGUUCUUCAUUGCUAUCUGCCUUUGGUUCCAUUCAGGUAGGAAAUUUUACAUCUCCGAGUGGAUAGGUAACGUGUCAUUCGGAGGGGAUAGGUAAUGGGUCAAAAUGGAUAGAGUUUAAAGCAAAAAGUAUGUUGAUAUCAAAUUUGAAGAUUUAAUAUCUAGAUAAAGACUACUUUGAGUUUCAAUAUGACGUAUUUUUAUUCUCUUGUGCACUUCAGUUUAUGAAUUCAUUUGAUUACAGAUUGCAAGCAAUGGGUUUUGAAGUAUGUUGGGAGACUUGAGUACCAGAUAUGGAGACUUGAUUACCAACUCUGAACUUGCAGUUUUGUCAUUUGGCUGGUUACCAUGUUAUUUAGUGAAUAUUCUUUUGUAGUUUAGUCAAGCCAAAAUCUUCUGAAUCGUUCAAUUUCAUUUACUGUAGGAUUGAGCUACAUCUUCUACUUUUGAUCCAUCAUUUAGCUGUUAUAUAUAAUAGAUAUGUAAUAACUUAUUCAUCAUCAUGUUUUAAGUAAAUAGCAUGUUGCUUUCAAUUGUUAUUGUUCUAAUUAUGCAACUUAUAUGGUAAUUCAGAGCGGC